rnacentral:lncRNA from 1 species
UAAACACAUUAAAAUCAAAUAAUCAAAUAAUUCACUUGACAAAUAAGAAAAAUAACUGAUUGAGAUCUAAUCCACUAAUUCAUUAACUAAAAUAGUUAAUUAAUUAAUUUCUAAAUUAUAUAAUUAAACUAAAUAAGAAGAACAAGAUAGAAAAGAGAAUAAAAGAAUAAAUAAUAUAAGAGAAGGAUAAAAUAUUAGGAUGGUGCAAGAAUAAAUAUGGGCCUAAAACCUAA